rnacentral:sRNA from 1 species
UUUGUGGAUUCGCAAAUGCAUGGAAG